GACGAACGCUGGCGGCGUGCUUAACACAUGCAAGUCGAACGGAAAGGCCCUGCUUUUGUGGGGUGCUCGAGUGGCGAGCGGGUGAGUAACACGUGAGUAACCUGCCCUUGACUCUGGGAUAACUUCAGGAAACUGGGGCUAAUACCGGAUAGGAGCUCCUGCUGCAUGGUGGGGGUUGGAAAGUUUCGGCGGUUGGGGAUGGACUCGCGGCUUAUCAGCUUGUUGGUGGGGUAGUGGCUUACCAAGGCUUUGACGGGUAGCCGGCCUGAGAGGGUGACCGGCCACAUUGGGACUGAGAUACGGCCCAGACUCCUACGGGAGGCAGCAGUGGGGAAUAUUGCACAAUGGGCGGAAGCCUGAUGCAGCAACGCCGCGUGCGGGAUGACGGCCUUCGGGUUGUAAACCGCUUUCGCCUGUGACGAAGCGUGAGUGACGGUAAUGGGUAAAGAAGCACCGGCUAACUACGUG
rnacentral:rRNA from 1 species